rnacentral:lncRNA from 1 species
GGACUUUAAUGGGGUUCAGUCUGUACCCAAGAUAUGCUCAGGAUAUCAGACUGUCAGAGUCUGUACCUAAGAUCUGCUUAGUAUAUCUACUUGUCAGAGCUUGCUUUAUGUCACUUCGGAGUAUUUUCAAAGGAUUUGUUCAAGAUCUCAAUUUAUCAUAGUCUGCUUUAAGUCAUUUCAGUGUUAGUUAGAGUUUGUCCUCAGGAUCUGUCAGAAUCUUCCUUUUAUGAGUGCCCCCACCCCCUUUCUAGGCCUAUAUAAAGGCCCCCAUUGUAACCCGAGGGACUUACCUUUUUUAGUUGAAUCAGUUUUCUCCCUUGUGAGAACCUUUCCUUUGCUUGUGGAUUCAGGCACCCCCUUGUGGACUCAAGGGUUGGAGACUCCGAAUCUGUGGAUUCAGAGGUUGGUUUCUUCUCCAAGAUUAGAGCUUUGUGGAUUCAAGCCCAAAUCUUGUUUAUCUUCCGCGUCACUGUUGCGUCAGUUGGUAUCAGAGCAAGUCAACGUUCCAAUCAGGUUCAAAGAUGUCACGAGGUAAAUCCGCUCAUAUUGGUAAUGAUGAUUCACCUAAAGUUGCUCUUAUAUUAAAGUCAGAUUUUCUGUUAUUUCAAGAUCGAAUAGAUCAGAAAUUUGAUGAUCUUAAUGAAAGCUUGAAACAACUUUUGGCUAGAAUGAGUACAUUAGAGGGUCAUUCACGCCCCCCUAGAGAUCAUGAAAUCAGACGUCCUCAGAAAGUCACUCAUGUCGAAUCUUCAUCAGAUACUCACUAUACAUCUAGUUCUACAAGUUCUAAAUCAAGAUUUGAAGAAGAUAAUUUUCGAGAUUUUCGUAUGAAGAUUGAUUUACCUUGUUUUAAUGGCCAUUUAAAGAUUGAAGAGUUCUUAGACUGGUUAGUUGAAGUAGAACGAUUCUUUGAGUAUAUGAAAAUUUCAGAUGAAAAACAAGUAAAGUUGUUGGCUUAUAAAUUGAAGGGUGGAGCCUCUGCCUGGUGGGAUCAANNNNNNNNNNNNNNNNNNNNUGUGCUGAAGCCUUAUUAGAGAAAGGAAAAACUAGAAUUCGAAAUUUUGGAAAUCAGAAUUCAACUCCUCAGCCAGAUAGAGGAAGAUCUACUAGUUUUUCUUCUACACCCCACAACGGGCGACUGAAUCAAAGUUCUGUUAGAUCAAGUGGAGCAAAUCCUACUGCCCAAGUCUCUUCUAACAAAAAUCCUUAUACUCCUAAUGUCAUUCCUAAAUGUUACAGGUGUGGAGAAAAUAGACACAAAUCAAAUAUCUGUCUGAAACGUGGCACAGUAAACCUUGCUGAUUCUAUUGAAGAGGAAACAGAAUAUGAAGAACCAGAAAUUGAAGGUGAGCAAGAAGAAAAUUUUAUUGAAUUUGAUACUGGAGAUGCACUGUCUCAUUCACUUGUGGUGAGAAGAUUGAUGUAUUCACCAAAAAGAGAAGAAGACCCACAGCGCCAUAACAUUUUUAGAACAAGGUGCACAGUAAAUUCUAAGGUAUGUGAUAUAAUUAUUGAUAGUGGCAGUAGUGAAAACAUUGUUUCCUCUAUCAUGGUUAAAAAAUUAGGUUUACAGACAAGGCCACACCCUCAUCCAUACCGAAUUGGUUGGAUCAAGAAAGAAACUGAAACUAAAGUUUCAGAGACGUGUUUGAUCAAAUUUUCAAUUGGGAAAACAUAUUCUGAUGAAGUGUAAUGUGAUGUUGUUGAAAUGGAUGCUUGUCACAUGAUAUUAGGCAGAUCAUGGCAAUUUGAUGUUGAUGCUACACACCGUGGUAAGGAAAAUAUUUAUAUUUUCUAUAGAAAUGGUAAAAAAUUUAUUUUGGCACCAAUGCAAGACAGUAAUUUUAGCAAAGGAAAAGAAGAGAGAAAAAAAGUAAUGCUCAUCAACCAGACAGAGUUUCUUAAAGAGUUUGAUAUUAAUACUGUAUUAUUUGUUGUUGUUCAAAAAUCUGAUUCGAACAUGAUAAUCGGAAAUAGGAUACCAAAAGCUGUUGAAAAUCUGUUAUCUGAAUUUUCUGUAAUUCAAGAACUAUCAACUCAUCUGCCACCACUGAGAGAUAUACAGCAUCAUAUCGAUCUUAUUCCAGGAGCAAGUUUGCUAAAUCUUCCACAUUACAGGAUGACUCUAGAAGAAAAUCAAAUUCUUCAAGAACAAGUUGAAGAAUUAUUGAGUAAAGGAUUGAUAAGAGAAAGUAUGAGCCCAUGCUCUGUGCCUGCUCUACUGGUUCCAAAGAAAGAUGGAAGUUGGCGGAUGUGUAUUGAUAGCAGAGCUAUUAACAAGAUAACAGUUAAGUAUAGAUUUCCAAUUCCACGCCUAGAUGACAUGUUGGAUAUGCUCUGUGGUUCGAAAAUUUUUUCAAAAGUUGAUUUAAAAAAUGGAUAUCAUCAGAUCCGAAUUCGACAAGGAGAUGAAUGGAAGACUACGUUUAAAACUAAGGCAGGUCUUUAUGAAUGGUUGGUCAUGCCUUUUGGUUUAUCUAAUGCCCCCAGUACCUUUAUGAGAGUCAUGAAUCAGGUUCUGAAACCUUUUAUUGGUAAAUUUGUCGUUGUUUAUUUUGAUGACAUUCUUAUUUACAGUACUACAGAAGAAGAACACAUUAAACAUCUCAGAUCAGUAUUUCAAGUGUUACAACAGAAUGAAUUAUAUAUUAACUUGAAAAAAUGUGACUUCAUGACUACUAGUUUAUUAUUCUUGGGAUAUCUUAUAAGUGCAGAUGGAAUCAAACUGGAUGAAGAAAAGGUCAGAGCUAUUAAAGAUUGGUCAACACCAACCACAAUUCAUCAGGUUCGAAGCUUUCAUGGGUUGGCAUCAUUUUAUAGAAGGUUCAUACGAAAUUUUAGCUCAAUAAUGUUUCCAAUUACUGAAUGUAUGAAAAAAGGUAAUUUUAAAUGGACUGAUGAAGCAAGUAAAGCCUUUUCAAUAAUAAAAGAAAAAUUAUGUUCUGCUCCUGUUUUGGCCCUACCAAAUUUUGAUAAACUAUUUGAAGUGGAAUGUGAUGCAUCCAUAGUUGGUGUUGGAAGUGUAUUAUCACAAGAAGGUCGGCCAAUAGCAUUUUUUAAUGAAAAACUUUAUGAGGCAAGAAAGAAAUGGACAACAUAUGAAUUAGAAUUUUAUGUCGUGGUUCGUGCUUUACAAAUAUGGGAACACUACUUGAUUCAGCAAAAAUUUAUUUUAUAUACUGAUCAUCAGGCUCUUAAAUCAGUCAAUAGUCAGACUUCUAUUAAUAGAAUGCAUGCCAGAUGGAUCUCUUUCCUACAACGUUUUACUUUUAUUAUUAAACAUAAGUCAGGGAAAUUGAAUCGAGUUGCAGAUGCACUUAGUAGAAAAAUAUCAUGUUUGGUGAACUUGCGUGCUGAGAUCACAGGAUUUGAUUACCUCAAAGAAUUAUACCUAGAUGAUGAUGAUUUUUCUCAACAAUAUAUGAUCUGUAUGUCAGGAAUAUCAAUCAAAGGUUUUCAUUUACAUGAUGGUUUCUUAUUUCAAGGAACACAGUUAUGUAUUCCUCGUAGCUCUUUAAGAGAGAAACUUCUACGAGAAUUACACUCUUCAGGUUUAGCAAGACACCUUGGUCGAGAUAAAACAUUACAGUCAAUUGAAGAACGAUAUUAUUGGCCUAAACUGAAGAAAGAUGUAGAAAAUUUUGUUCGUAAAUGUCAGAUUUGUCAAACCUAUAAGGGACAAAGUCAAAAUACUGGACUAUAUACACCGUUGCCGAUUCCACAACGUCCUUGGGCUGAUAUUUCUAUGGACUUUAUAUUAGGCUUACCACGAACACAAAGAGGAGCUGACUCAGUUUUCGUUGUCGUUGAUCGAUUUUCGAAAAUGGCACAUUUCAUCGCAUCUAAAAAGACAAAUGAUGCAAGUCAAGUAGCCAAUCACUUUUUCAAAGAAAUUGUUCGUCUACAUGGAAUUCUUGAGUCAAUUACAUCUGAUAGAGAUUCCAAGUUUGUAUCUCACUUCUGGCGAACUCUUUGGAAAAGGUUUGACACAUUUUUGAAAUUUAGUAGCACUAGUCACCCACAAACUGAUGGCCAAACUGAAGUUGUGAACAGAACUCUUGGCAAUUUGAUUCGUUGUAUUUCAGGAGAAAAGCCAAAACAAUGGGAUUAUGCUUUGGCUCAAGUAGAAUUUGCCUAUAAUUUGAUGAUUAAUCGUUCAACGAACAAAUCUCCAUUUUCAGUAGUAUACUGUUUUCCUCCAAGAAUUCUAUUAGAUCUAUUACAAGUACCAAGAUCAGUUGGAACUAGUAUUGCUGCAAAUAAUAUGGUGGACCAUAUCAAAACACUUCAUGAAGAUGUGAUACACAAUCUCACAACAAAUUAUGACAAAUAUAAAAUAGCAGCAGAUAAGAAAAGAAGAAAGAAGAUAUUUGAAGUUGGCGACAAAGUGAUGGUGUACCUUCGCAAAGAACGAUUUCUAGCAGGUAGCUACAACAAGUUGAAGCCAAAGAAAUAUGGAUUGUAUCAAGUUCUACAGAAGAUCAAUGAUAAUGCAUACCUUAUUGAGCUCCCACCAAAUAUGACUAUUUCACCCACAUUUAAUGUCAGUGACAUAUACGAAUAUUACGAAUAUUCAAAUGAAGACUCGAGGACGAAUUUUCUUGAAGAAGGAGAGACUGAUGUAGCCCAAGACACCAGUUGAAGUCCUAACUUCGAAGUUGGGCCCAAUUACCCUAAAUUUGGGCCAUAAAGUGAAAAGUAGUAAAGAGGGAGCCCACAUAUGUCACUAGUGGGCUGGAGGUCCGAAAAGUAAUACUUACUUUUUACUUUAUGUCCUUUCACUUCUAAAAGGCACUUUAUGUAUCCUUCCUUCUAGAAGGGACUUUAAUGGGGUUCAGUCUGUACCCAAGAUAUGCUCAGGAUAUCAGACUGUCAGAGUCUGUACCUAAGAUCUGCUUAGUAUAUUUACUUGUCAGAGCUUGCUUUAUGUCACUUCGGAGUAUUUUCAAAGGAUUUGUUCAAGAUCUCAAUCUAUCAUAAUCUGCUUUAAGUCAUUUCAGUGUUAGUCAAAGUCUGUCCUCAGGAUCUGUCAGGAUCCUCCUUUUAUGAGUGCCCCCACCCCCUUUCUAGGCCUAUAUAAAGGCCCCCAUUGUAACCUGAGGGAC